rnacentral:rRNA from 1 species
AUACGUAGGGGGCGAGCGUUGUCCGGAUUUACUGGGCGUAAAGGGUGAGUAGGCGGUUAUAUGGGUCUGAUGUAAAAGGCUAUGGCUUGACCAUAGUUAGCAUUUGAAACUGUAUGACUUGAGUGCAGGAGAGGUAAGUGGAAUUCCUAGUGUAGCGGUGAAAUGCGUAGAUAUUAGGAGGAACACCAGUGGCGAAGGCGACUUACUGGACUGUAACUGACGCUGAGUCACGAAAGCGUGGGUAGCAAACAGGAUUAGAUACCCUGGUAGUCCACGCUGUAAACGAUGAGUGCUAGGUGUUGGCCAGCGAUGGUCAGUGCCGCAGUAAACACAUUAAGCACUCCGCCUGGGGAGUACGGUCGCAAGACUGAAACUCAAAUGAAUUGACGGGG